rnacentral:tRNA from 1 species
GGGAUGUUAGUAAAAUCAAUUACACAGUCUUGUCAAGACCGAAUCACAGGUGAAAACCCCGUACACCCCU